rnacentral:lncRNA from 1 species
ACCUCGGGGUUGGUGCCCUGUGCACCUGCGCCCUUCCUCAUCAUCAGGAGGCCUCUGGAAUGGGGGUAGGGGCGCGAGGAAGACCAGAGAUUGGCCCUUCUCUUUUAUAACCCGCGGGUACAAUUGUGACUAAUUUGAAAUGGAAACAUUAUUCUUAUUCUCCACCCAGUCCCAGCAAACUUUUUAAGUAAUUGUUUUGUAAGCAAUUUUUGUACUUGUAAAAGUCUUUGCUUUCUCUUCCCACUUUCUUAAAAAAUGCCUGUUAUCUCCUUACUGGAUACAGCCAUUGUAAGCGCCCCCUAGUGACCAUCUCAAAGGGCUCAGGGUUCCUCAGGAAGGUCGCUGCCUCAUCUCCUCUUUUUACAGGAUUUUUUUUUCAGACCCAGGGCAAGUUGGCUUUGACUUUUCUCUACAAGAGACUCCCAGAUCUGAGAUCAGGAGAGAUUCGGAUUGUGUAAUUCAUUUUUUCUGUCCAUUGUUCUAUAUUCCUCUUAGUUUAGUGCGGCAGGCUGCCUUCGACUUGUAAAACUUGCCACUUUUUCUGCCAAUUGCAUCUUGAAGCCAGGUUAGCCCUUUGGUCCCAGCUUUUUAUACUCUCACCUCAACAGCCCUGAACGGCCCUUCUGCAGCAUCCUUCCCUGCGGAGCAGGCAGUACAGGGAGGCACCUGCUAGGAGUCCUCCAGCUGUUGCUGGCCUGUGUGGCUUGUCUCCAGGUCCUGCCCUCCUAUGUCUGCCCAGGCUGCAGGGUACAGCGGUGAAGCACACCUAGGAAUUCUGCUUCCUUCAAAGAUUUUAGGACGAAUAUCAAGUAAUUAAUUGUUUCCACACUUACACAGGAAAGUUAACUCAGGAGUCUCAGUCUGAAGGAGCUUCUGAGUUUCUUUUGUAAUUCCAUUCAAAAUGAGGGAGAGGGGAGCCAAAAAUGUUUUGACUCAAAUGCUGAAUUGACCCAAGACUAAAAAGGUCCCCCCGAGUUGUUGCCAUUGACAAAGGCUGUAGCAGGAGCCCCGUCCCCAGCCCUCACCCCCUCCCUGGCCCUGCUCACCUGGCCAGAGCAACUAGAGGGAUAGAAUCAUUCAGAGUGAAAAACAUUGGUACAGCUUCAUCUUAGAUUUAAUUAAGCCUUCAGAGAGCCUUCUGCUGCCGCCACUUCUGCCUACAACCGUGGGCAGAGUUGUGCAUUUUCCCAGUUUAUUUUCUGGAAGAUGGAGCAGGAACUAAAGUCACUGGGAUGUGCUUUGGGACAUAGAAGAGGCUCCCUCUCUCCAGGUCUUCCUGCCCAAUCCCUCAAGAAUAUUCUGUGUGAGGAAGGAGCAGAAUGAAAUCUGUUCUUUGUAUAUUGUGUGUGUCCUCAUGGCCCCUUAUCUGUUACCACCCUAAAUUUAAGUCUUAUGGAUAGUCAAAUCUAAACAUAACAGACCCAGCUGGCUUCUGGAAUGGGCUAGGGCCUUCCUUCCCAUUGCCAGUCGUUCUUGGUGCAUGUGGCAUAAGCAACUUUCAAAAUGAACCCUUAAUACCCUGGGAAAUGAUGCUGCCACUGAAAUGUGGUCUUAGCUUUGUUGUCUCUACUGUAUGAAAGCAAAUUGUGACUGAAGAGAGAGUUUUUUCUCCCAAGAAACAUGAAUUGAUUUCACUGGAAGUUUCAAGCUUCUGGAAACUGUUUACAGUGUGUUGCUUUUAACCAUCAUUUAUGUGUAAUGGAUUUUUUUUUUUUCCCUCCCAUCAUGCUGUAAUGGAAAAUUUUUCCUUCUGGAUCAGUGCCACAGAGAUAUGAAAUAAUGUGACAUGUCAGAAUGACAUGCAGUGGUGUGGGUUUUUAUGUUCUGUGAACAGUGGGUCGGCAUGGGUGUACACAGCCUGCUUUGGGGGCUGUGGGGACAUACCUGUGUUUUGUUUUAAAACUAUAUUCAAUACAGAGAAUGAUGGUAUGUUCG